GGAAUAUUGGACAAUGGGCGAAAGCCUGAUCCAGCAACGCCGCGUGGAGGAUGAAGGCCUUCGGGUUGUAAACCUCUGUCAGGGGGGAAGAACCCGGAGUCGGUGAAUAACCGGCUCCGCUGACGGUACCCCCAGAGGAAGCACCGGCUAACUCCGUGCCAGCAGCCGCGGUAAGACGGAGGGUGCGAACGUUGUUCGGAAUCACUGGGCGUAAAGGGCGCGUAGGCGGACUUGUAAGUCGGGAGUGAAAACUCGGGGCUCAACCCCGAGCCUGCUUCUGAAACUGCGAGUCUUGAGGACCGGAGAGGAAAGUGGAAUUCCUAGUGUAGCGGUGGAAUGCGUAGAUAUUAGGAAGAACACCAGUGGCGAAGGCGACUUUCUGGACGGUUCCUGACGCUGAGGCGCGAAAGCUAGGGGAGCAAAC
rnacentral:rRNA from 1 species